GUGACAUCAUUCAUUCACACUUAUCUCACUUUCUUUUGUACUCACCAAAAUGCAACAAAAACUCACUACAAUGAGAGUAAAACGCAUUACAACUCACACACCUCACUUUUUCUAUUUUCUCUUUUUUUUUUCCUCCAACAAUCUUUCUACCCUCUCUACCUCACCCCACACACUCUGUUUAACUCAUCCUCACUCUCAUUUCAUUCACACACACAAUAUAAAUCAAUAAAAUCAUAUUUGCAACCUCUCUUUGUUUUCUCCAUUUCUCUUCUUCAAAGCUCUUACUACUUGGUAUUUUCUGCUUCCCUCUUGCUUCAUUCAUAUCAUAUGAAGAUCAUAGAGCAUUGGUGUUGGGGUUUCUAUCUAAUCUGA